rnacentral:rRNA from 1 species
ACUGCUCAGUAACACGUGGACAACCUACCCUCCGGACGGGUAUAAACCCGGGAAACUGGGUAUAAUCCCCGAUAGAUCUCGGUCGCUGGAAUGCCCCGAGAUCGAAAGCUCCGGCGCCAGAGGAUGGGUCUGCGGCCUAUCAGGUAGUAGUGGGUGUAGCGUACCUACUAGCCUACGACGGGUACGGGUUGUGAGAGCAAGAGCCCGGAGAUGGAUUCUGAGACACGAAUCCAGGCCCUACGGGGUGCAGCAGGCGCGAAAACUUUACAAUGCCGGCAACGGCGAUAAGGGGACCUCGAGUGCCAGGUUACAAAUCUGGCUGUCGUGAUGCCUAAAAAGCAUUGCAUAGCAAGGGCCGGGCAAGACCGGUGCCAGCCGCCGCGGUAACACCGGCGGCUCGAGUGGUAACCGUUAUUAUUGGGUCUAAAGGGUCUGUAGCCGGCCGGAUAAGUCUCUUGAGAAAUCCAGCAGCUCAACUGUUGGGCUUUCAGGAGAUACUGUUCGGCUCGAGGCCGGGAGAGGUGAGAGGUACUUCAGGGGUAGGGGUGAAAUCUUGUAAUCCUUGAAGGACCACCAGUGGCGAAGGCGUCUCACCAGAACGGACCUGACGGCAAGGGACGAAAGCUAGGGGCACGAACCGGAUUAGAUACCCGGGUAGUCCUAGCCGUAAACGAUACUCGCUAGGUGUCGGCCACGGUGCGACCGUUGUCGGUGCCGUANGGAAGCCGUGAAGCGAGCCACCUGGGAAGUACGGCCGCAAGGCUGAAACUUAAAGGAAUUGGCGGGGGAGCAC